rnacentral:rRNA from 1 species
GAUGAACGCUGGCGGCGUGCCUAAUACAUGCAAGUCGAACGAAAAUUCUUUAUCAUCGCUUGCUUGCCCUUACCGAUGAAGGGUUGAGUGGCGAAUGGGUGAGCAACACGUGGGCCACCUGCCCCAACGAGGGGGAUAAGCUAAGGAAACAGGUGCUAAUACCGCAUAACCAUCGUUACUGCAUGGUAAUUUUGUUAACGGUUGCUGUACUAUCCCUUCUGGAUGGGCUCGCGGCGAAUUAGGCGGGUGGUAAGGUAAAGGGUUAACAAGGCAACGAUGCGGUAGCGAACUGGGAGGGUGAUCGGGCACAAUGGGACUGGGACACGGCCCAAACUCCUACGGGAGGCAGCAGGAGGGAAUCUUCCAGAAUGGGCGGAAGCCUGAUGGAGCAACGCCGCGUGGGUGAAGAAGGUCUUCGGAUCGUAAAACCCUGUUGUUAGGGAAAAAAGUGCGUGGUAGGAACUGUUCACGUUUCGACGGUAACUAACCAGAAAGCCACGGCUAACUACGUG